rnacentral:tRNA from 1 species
CAGAGGGUGGUCUAGUUUAUGAUCC